CUACGGGUGGCUGCAGUGGGGAAUAUUGGACAAUGGGGGCAACCCUGAUCCAGCAAUGCCGCGUGUGUGAAGAAGGCCUGCGGGUUGUAAAGCACUUUCAAUUGUGAAGAAAAGCUUGGGGUUAAUAACCUCGAGUCUUGACGUUAACUUUAGAAGAAGCACCGGCUAACUCUGUGCCAGCAGCCGCGGUAAUACAGAGGUGCGAGCGUUAAUCGGAAUUACUGGGCGUAAAGCGUACGUAGGCGGUUUAGUAAGUCAGAUGUGAAAGCCCUGGGCUCAACCUGGGAACUGCAUUUGAAACUGCUAGACUAGAGUGCGGUAGAGGGAAGUGGAAUUCCGGGUGUAGCGGUGAAAUGCGUAGAUAUCCGGAGGAACACCAGUGGCGAAGGCGACUUCCUGGACCAAGACUGACACUGAGGUGCGAAAGCGUGGGUAGCAAACAGGAUUAGAUACCCGCGUAGUC
rnacentral:rRNA from 1 species